rnacentral:rRNA from 1 species
AGUGAACGCUGGCGGUAGGCCUAACACAUGCGAGUCGAACGGCAGCACAGUAAGAGCUUGCUCUUACGGGUGGCGAGUGGCGGACGGGUGAGGAAUACAUCGGAAUCUACUUUUUCGUGGGGGAUAACGUAGGGAAACUUACGCUAAUACCGCAUACGACCUACGGGUGAAAGUAGGGGAUCUUCGGACCUUGCGCGAUUGAAUGAGCCGAUGUCGGAUUAGCUAGUUGGCGGGGUAAAGGCCCACCAAGGCGACGAUCCGUAGCUGGUCUGAGAGGAUGAUCAGCCACACUGGAACUGAGACACGGUCCAGACUCCUACGGGAGGCAGCAGUGGGGAAUAUUGGACAAUGGGCGCAAGCCUGAUCCAGCCAUACCGCGUGGGUGAAGAAGGCCUUCGGGUUGUAAAGCCCUUUUGUUGGGAAAGAAAAGCAGCAGGUUAAUACCCCGCUGUUCUGACGGUACCCAAAGAAUAAGCACCGGCUAACUUCGUG